GACGAACGCUUUCGGCGUGCUUAACACACGCAAGUCGAACGGAAAGGCCCUGCUUUUGUGGGGUGCUCGAGUGGCGAACGGGUGUGUAACACGUGAGUAACCUGCCCUUGACUUUGGGAUAACUUCAGGAAACUGGGGCUAAUACCGGAUAGGAGCUCCUGCUGCAUGGUGGGGGUUGGAAAGUUUCGGCGGUUGGGGAUGGACUCGCGGCUUAUCAGCUUGUUGGUGGGGUAGUGGCUUACCAAGGCUUUGACGGGUAGCCGGCCUGAGAGGGUGACCGGCCACAUUGGGACUGAGAUACGGCCCAGACUCCUACGGGAGGCAGCAGUGGGGAAUAUUGCACAAUGGGCGGAAGCCUGAUGCAGCAACGCCGCGUGCGGGAUGACGGCCUUCGGGUUGUAAACCGCUUUCGCCUGUGACGAAGCGUGAGUGACGGUAAUGGGUAAAGAAGCACCGGCUAACUACGUGCCAGCAGCCGCGGUGAUACGUAGGGUGCGAGCGUUGUCCGGAUUUAUUGGGCGUAAAGGGCUCGUAGGUGGUUGAUCGCGUCGGAAGUGUAAUCUUGGGGCUUAACCCUGAGCGUGCUUUCGAUACGGGUUGACUUGAGGAAGGUAGGGGAGAAUGGAAUUCCUGGUGGAGCGGUGGAAUGCGCAGAUAUCAGGAGGAACACCAGUGGCGAAGGCGGUUCUCUGGGCCUUUCCUGACGCUGAGGAGCGAAAGCGUGGGGAGCGAACAGGCUUAGAUACCCUGGUAGUCCACGCUGUAAACGGUGGGUACUAGGUGUGGGGUCCAUUCCACGGGUUCCGUGCCGUAGCUAACGCUUUAAGUACCCCGCCUGGGGAGUACGGCCGCAAGGCUAAAACUCAAAGGAAUUGACGGGGCCCCGCACAAGCGGCGGAGCAUGCGGAUUAAUUCGAUGCAACGCGUAGAACCUUACCUGGGUUUGACAUGGAUCGGGAGUGCUCAGAGAUGGGUGUGCCUCUUUUGGGGUCGGUUCACAGGUGGUGCAUGGCUGUCGUCAGCUCGUGUCGUGAGAUGUUGGGUUAAGUCCCGCAACGAGCGCAACCCUUGUUCACUGUUGCCAGCACGUUAUGGUGGGGACUCAGUGGAGACCGCCGGGGUCAACUCGGAGGAAGGUGGGGAUGACGUCAAGUCAUCAUGCCCCUUAUGUCCAGGGCUUCACGCAUGCUACAAUGGCUGGUACAGAGAGUGGCGAGCCUGUGAGGGUGAGCGAAUCUCGGAAAGCCGGUCUCAGUUCGGAUUGGGGUCUGCAACUCGACCUCAUGAAGUCGGAGUCGCUAGUAAUCGCAGAUCAGCAACGCUGCGGUGAAUACGUUCCCGGGGCU
rnacentral:rRNA from 1 species